UACUCCUACGGGAGGCAGCAGUGAGGAAUAUUGGUCAAUGGGCGAGAGCCUGAACCAGCCAAGUAGCGUGCAGGAUGACGGCCCUAUGGGUUGUAAACUGCUUUUGUAUGGGGAUAAAGUCAAUCACGUGUGAUUGUUUGCAGGUACCAUACGAAUAAGGACCGGCUAAUUCCGUGCCAGCAGCCGCGGUAAUACGGAAGGUCCGGGCGUUAUCCGGAUUUAUUGGGUUUAAAGGGAGCGUAGGCUGGAGAUUAAGUGUGUUGUGAAAUGUAGACGCUCAACGUCUGACUUGCAGCGCAUACUGGUUUCCUUGAGUACGCACAACGUUGGCGGAAUUCGUCGUGUAGCGGUGAAAUGCUUAGAUAUGACGAAGAACUCCGAUUGCGAAGGCAGCUGACGGGAGCGCAACUGACGCUGAAGCUCGAAGGUGCGGGUAUCGAACAGGAUUAGAUACCCUGGUAGUCCGCACAGUAAACGAUGGAUGCCCGCUGUUGGUACCUGGUAUCAGCGGCUAAGCGAAAGCAUUAAGCAUCCCACCUGGGGAGUACGCCGGCAACGGUGAAACUCAAAGGAAUUGACGGA
rnacentral:rRNA from 1 species